AGCAGCAGCACACAGCACGACAGACGCGCCGCCACAAAUUAAGUCAUCUACCGAUAUCCAACGAGAGCCAUCCGCUCUCCGUUCCCUCGCCAUGGCGUCCUGAGAUUUCUGCCGGGCACUGGUUGGCGAGGCCUCAAGCUCUCUUCCGAUCGAGACAUCCUGAGGUACGCCCUCCUCGUAGCCCACCGACCUCUUGGCCUCACUAGAGGAACCCUGCACCGGAUGCAACCCCCUCUCUUUUCUUCCUGCAGAUCACCCCGGGACAGUAGAAACCUCCCUUCCUCUCCGGUUCCCCUUGAUCUGGCCCUCUUGAUGGCAUGUCGCUGCUAGGCACUGAACGAUGCGCCUGGCGAAGGCAGAGAGGUGGAAGACAGGGGCACAGCGGACCAAUGGCCAUCCAGAAGCAAACAGUGCUGGUACUGGAAGUCCAUGGAGAAUGCUCUAUGCAGGCCCAAAGAUCAGCAUGAACUGCUACAUUCGGGUAUCGGAUUUACAUUAGAAGGCAGAAAACUGGAAGGAAUGUAGUGUAUAUAGUGUAUGUAGGACUAAUUAGAAUGUUACACUUUGAAGUAUGGUUGUAACCUCUUUAUUCAAAAAUUGUUUUCAUGUAUGUGAUGGGGAUUUCAAUAAUAAAUAUUGAAUUAUU